rnacentral:lncRNA from 1 species
GAGGUAUAAAUAGAGGAAUACAUUGGAGAGAAACACAUCUCUAUUUAAGAGUUACUCUAUUUUAGAGAUAAAAAUAGGGAAUACAUUAGAGAUAGUCUAAUAUGUUCAUAUUAGAGUAGAUUCCUCUCAGCAAAACUAACUACGUUUUUUUGAUUAAAACAUCAAAACUAAGUUUGACCAGACUUUUCUCUUUUAACUUCUUACGUUGUACUUUCGUUAAUAAGUUUUUUUUAAAAUAACUGUACCAUAGUUAACGUUUCUAAUCUAUGUACGUAGUAGAAACACAAUAAUCAAAUUAGGUUGAGUGAAUAUUUUUCAGUAAUACCAUUUAUAUUCGGUAUGCAUAAACUGAAUUACAUCUCUAACAUUAAUAAUAACAUUUUUAUUGUUCUCUUAUCAAAAUAUUUUGUGAGCAGACUAUCCAAUUAUUUAAUUUUGGACCAGUUGCUUAUAUUGACACUGACAUAGUAUUUG